UCCUUUAGUCACUUUUAAGUCUUCAUGAGCCAAUGGACAUCAUUUAAGCAUGAAAAAGAGCUGUGGUGGUGUAGUGGUUGGAAUGCAGUAUUGCAGGCUAACUUUGCCCACUGCCAGGAGUUUGAUCCUGAUGGAGGUCAAGAUUGACUCAGCCUUCCAUUCUUCCAAGACCUCCUGCCUACCUGCAUGCUUGAUGAGUGUCAAACCAAUCCAUAGAAAAUUCAUAAUCAUCUACAAUCAUAGCUAAGAAACUGCUUCAUUCAAAAGAGAUUCUAUGAAGUCCAAUAAAAAGUUCAACUGGAA